rnacentral:lncRNA from 1 species
CUCAAUACUCUAAUAGCAGCUUUAAGAUGAUCAAAAAGUGGAUCUUGUAAAAAUUGACUUGGUUGAUUCACAGCGAAGCUGAUAUCUAGUCUAAUCAUGGUGAAGGUAUUGCAACUUUCCAAUCAAACACCUAUAUGAAGCAACAUCAGGAAUAACAUCACUAGCAGAGUUGUGAAGUUUGAGAUGAUGCUCCAUAGGAAUGGAGAAAGGAUUGGAUUCAGA